AUUGAACGCUGGCGGAAUGCUUUACACAUGCAAGUCGAACGGCAGCACGGACUUCGGUCUGGUGGCGAGUGGCGAACGGGUGAGUAAUGUAUCGGAACGUGCCCAGUCGUGGGGGAUAACGUAGUGAAAAUUACGCUAAUACCGCAUACGAUCUAUGGAUGAAAGCGGGGGAUCGCAAGACCUCGCGCGAUUGGAGCGGCCGAUAUCAGAUUAGGUAGUUGGUGGGGUAAAGGCCCACCAAGCUAACGAUCAGUAGCUGGUCUGAGAGGACGACCAAGGACACUGGAACGGAGACACGGUCCAUGCUCCUACGGGAGGCAGCAGUAGGGAAUUUUGGACGAUGGGCGAAAGCCUGAUCCAGCCAUUCCGCGUGCAGGAUGAAGGCCCUCGGGUUGCAAACUGCUUUUGUACAGAACGAAAAGGUUUCUACUAAUACUAGGAGCUCAUGACGGUACUGUAAGAAUAAGCACCGGCUAACUACGUGCCAGCCGCCGCCGUAA
rnacentral:rRNA from 1 species